rnacentral:rRNA from 1 species
UACAUAGGGUGCUAGCGUUGCUCGGAAUUAUUGGGCGUAAAGAACAUGUAGGAUGACUUGUAAGUCAAAAGUUUAAUCCCUGAGCUUAACUUAGGGGCUGCUCUUGAUACUGCAAGUCUAGAGCAAAGUAGAGGAUAGCGGAAUUCUUAGUGUAGGGGUAAAAUCCAUAGAUAUUAAGAGGAACGUCGGAAGCGAAAGCGGCUAUCUGGGCUUUUGCUGACUCUGAGAUGUGAAAGCGUGGGGAGCAAACAGG